rnacentral:rRNA from 1 species
AUUGAACGCUGGCGGCAUGCCUUACACAUGCAAGUCGAACGGUAACAGGUCUUCGGAUGCUGACGAGUGGCGAACGGGUGAGUAAUACAUCGGAACGUGCCCGAUCGUGGGGGAUAACGAGGCGAAAGCUUUGCUAAUACCGCAUACGAUCUAAGGAUGAAAGCGGGGGAUCUUCGGACCUCGCGCGGACGGAGCGGCCGAUGGCGGAUUAGGUAGUUGGUGGGAUAAAAGCUUACCAAGCCGACGAUCUGUAGCUGGUCUGAGAGGAUGAUCAGCCACACUGGGACUGAGACACGGCCCAGACUCCUACGGGAGGCAGCAGUGGGGAAUUUUGGACAAUGGGCGAAAGCCUGAUCCAGCCAUGCCGCGUGCAGGAUGAAGGCCUUCGGGUUGUAAACUGCUUUUGUACGGAACGAAAAGCCUCUUUCUAAUAAAGAGAGGUCAUGACGGUACCGUAAGAAUAAGCACCGGCUAACUACGUG